AACGCGAAGAACCUUACCAACCCUUGACAUCCUGUGCUACUUCCAGAGAUGGAUGGUUGCCUUCGGGGACGCAGUGACAGGUGCUGCAUGGCUGUCGUCAGCUCGUGUCGUGAGAUGUUGGGUUAAGUCCGGCAACGAGCGCAACCCACAUCCCUAGUUGCCAGCAGUUCGGCUGGGCACUCUAUGGAAACUGCCCGUGAUAAGCGGGAGGAAGGUGUGGAUGACGUCAAGUCCUCAUGGCCCUUACGGGUUGGGCUACACACGUGCUACAAUGGUAGUGACAAUGGGUUAAUCCCAAAAAGCUAUCUCAGUUCGGAUUGUCGUCUGCAACUCGACGGCAUGAAGUCGGAAUCGCUAGUAAUCGCGUAACAGCAUGACGCGGUGAAUACGUUCCCGGGCCUUGUACACACCG
rnacentral:rRNA from 1 species